GAUGAACGCUGGCGGCGUGCCUAAUACAUGCAAGUCGAGCGAACGGACGAGAAGCUUGCUUCUCUGAUGUUAGCGGCGGACGGGUGAGUAACACGUGGAUAACCUACCUAUAAGACUGGGAUAACUUCGGGAAACCGGAGCUAAUACCGGAUAAUAUUUUGAACCGCAUGGUUCAAAAGUGAAAGACGGUCUUGCUGUCACUUAUAGAUGGAUCCGCGCUGCAUUAGCUAGUUGGUAAGGUAACGGCUUACCAAGGCAACGAUGCAUAGCCGACCUGAGAGGGGGAUCGGCCACACUGGAACUGAGACACGGUCCAUACUCCUACGGGAGGCAGCAGUAGGGAAUCUUCCGCAAUGGGCGAAAGCCUGACGGAGCAACGCCGCGUGAGUGAUGAAGGUCUUCGGAUCGUAAAACUCUGUUAUUAGGGAAGAACAUAUGUGUAAGUAACUGUGCACAUCUUGACGGUACCUAAUCAGAAAGCCACGGCUAACUACGUG
rnacentral:rRNA from 1 species